GACGAACGCUGGCGGCGUGCUUAACACAUGCAAGUCGAACGAUGAAGCGGCCAGCUUGCUGGUGGUGGAUUAGUGGCGAACGGGUGAGUAACACGUGAGCAACCUGCCCUUCACUCUGGAAUAACCACUGGAAACGAUGGCUAAUGCCGAAUAUGAACCCCUUUCGCAUGUUGGGGGUUGGAAAGCUCCGGCGGAGAAGGAUGAGCUCGCGGCCUAUCAGCUUGUUGGUGAGGUAAUGGCUCACCAAGGCAUUGACGGGUAGCCGGCCUGAGAGGGUGACCGGCCACACUGGGACUGAGACACGGCCCAGACUCCUACGGGAGGCAGCAGUGGGGAAUAUUGGACAAUGGGCGAAAGCCUGAUCCAGCAACGCCGCGUGAGGGAUGACGGCCUUCGGGUUGUAAACCUCUUUCAGCAGGGACGAAGCGAAAGUGACGGUACCUGCAGAAGAAGGACCGGCCAACUACGUGCCAGCAGCCGCCGUAAAAC
rnacentral:rRNA from 1 species